CAAAGACUGGACUAAAAGAGUGAGUCUAAUAGAAUCAAGAACGUUCAGUGCUCUCGAAACAGACUGAAGCAGAGCAGUGAACUGAGUAGAUGCAUGCUCACUCAAGCCUCUGAUCUCUCUCCUCAAUAACUCAUAACCACCCUCCAAUGCACCUCUGAGCCUGCCAGCCUCUGCAGUAAGGUCUGUGACCUCAAUAGUGCUCUCCUGUGGCUGAGGAUGGGCCAAAGCUAAGACUUGCCCCUGCAAGUCAAGAACUCUCCCAGUCAGUCUCAAAAUGCAAUCCUCGAGCUGCUGAAUCUGAAUAGACUGAUCUGUGAUCAACUGAAAUAUAGUGGAGAUAUGGGGGAUCAAGGUCUGAUCAGAUGAAUCUAAUGAUGUGGAUCCCGGUGCAAAUGUAGAAGUGCUCCACUGACGAGAAAGCAAGGAAGCCACACGCUGAGAAAUCUGCUCGAUCUGAUCAUCAGCUAAUCUGAACUCUAAAGGAGGUGCUCUGCUGUCUGGCUGUUGAACUGGUGUGUACCUCCUGACAGAAUCUGAAGGGCCAACCUCUGGAUCUAAAAUAAACUGGAUAUCUGGAGAUGCUGCCCUGAAGUCAUGGAGAGGAGAUGAGGGACCUUCUUCUUCAGCUCUGUCCUCUACUCUAUCCUCAGAACGCUUGAUC
rnacentral:lncRNA from 1 species